UACGAAGGGGGCUAGCGUUGUUCGGAGUUACUGGGCGUAAAGGGCGCGUAGGCGGCGCAUCAAGUCAGGCGUGAAAGCCCUGGGCUCAACCCGGGAAUUGCGCUUGAGACUGGUGUGCUUGAGUACGGGAGAGGAUAGUGGAAUUCCCAGUGUAGAGGUGAAAUUCGUAGAUAUUGGGAAGAACACCGGUGGCGAAGGCGGCUAUCUGGACCGUAACUGACGCUGAGGCGCGAAAGCGUGGGGAGCAAACAGG
rnacentral:rRNA from 1 species